rnacentral:rRNA from 1 species
ACCUGCCCUAUGAUAAAGAAUUUAUUAAAUGGCCGCGAUAAUUUGAUCGUGCAAAGGUAGCAUAAUAAUUAGUUUCUUAAUUGGGAACUGGAAUGAAAGGUCGAACGAGAAAGUUACUGUCUCAAUUUAAUUUAUAUUAGAAUUUUAUUUUUAAGUUAAAAAGCUUAAAUAUUUUUUAAAGACGAGAAGACCCUAUAGAGUUUUAUAUUUAUUAUAAUUAGUUUUAUUUUUAGAAUUUAAGUUUAAUAAUUUAUAAUAAGUAUUUGAUUGGGGUGAUUGAAAAAUUUAAUUAACUUUUUUUAAUAGUUUAACAUUAAUAUAUGAUAAAUUGAUCCAUAUUUAUAUGAUUAUAAGAUUAAAUUACCUUAGGGAUAACAGCGUAAUUUUUUUUGAGAGUUCUUAUCGAAAAAAAAGUUUGCGACCUCGAU